rnacentral:rRNA from 1 species
UUGAAAGGGAAACGAUUGAAGUCAGUCAUACCAACGGGAAAUCACCUUUUGAGCUUGGUCUUGUGGGUUUUGAAGAGUUUCAAAGCCUUCAGAUUCGCGGGAUUGGGAUCUCUUGGUGUACUUUUUCGUACGGUUAGUCAACAUCGGUUUUGAAUGUCAUAAAAUGACUGGAGGAAUGUAGCUUCGAUCUCGUAUUGAAGUGUUAUAGCCUUUGGUAGAUGUGAUGUUUGAGACCGAGGAUUGCAACGGAUACCCUUCAGGGCUAUUCGUCUGAUCUCUGAUACGUUGCCUUGAUGUUGAAAGCUUGCUUAUGAUGUUAGGGUAUUACGGUCAAAAGGUUAGAACGAAUUACAUUCGUUAAGGAUGUUGACGUA